CCUACGGGAGGCAGCAGUGGGGAAUAUUGGGCAAUGGGCGCAAGCCUGACCCAGUAACGCCGCGUGAAGGAAGAAGGCUUUCGGGUUGUAAACUUCUUUUAAGGGGGAAGAGCAGAAGACGGUACCCCUUGAAUAAGCCACGGCUAACUUCGUGCCAGCAGCCGCGGUAAUACGUAGGUGGCAAGCGUUGUCCGGAUUUACUGGGUGUAAAGGGCGUGCAGCCGGAGAGACAAGUCAGAUGUGAAAUCCACGGGCUCAACCCGUGAACUGCAUUUGAAACUGUUUCCCUUGAGUGUCGGAGAGGUAAUCGGAAUUCCUUGUGUAGCGGUGAAAUGCGUAGAUAUAAGGAAGAACACCAGUGGCGAAGGCGGAUUACUGGACGAUAACUGACGGUGAGGCGCGAAAGCGUGGGGAGCAAACAGGAUUAGAUACCCGUGUAGUC
rnacentral:rRNA from 1 species